UCAUGUUUGGAAAGGGUAUCGCUGUCCCACUCAAAACUAAUCAGUGUCUUCUUAUCCUUUACCAACUCCCCAGAGGUGUUUCUCAUCGUAGGGUUCAGAUCAAAGUGGAGGUCCGGGAUGGACACAUACCAGGAGACACCUGGCUGUAAUGUGGCCCUUAACCUUGGACCUCAGUGUUGAUCUGGAUGUUGUAGACUCCGUUCUUAUGAAAGCCUGCCUGGUAAAGAAAAAUACUGGACGACACAAACACAUUUUCAGUGUAUAGCACCACUCAGCAGUGCUAAUAAAAAGAAAACCAAGGCUUCCAUCUUUCUGCAGUACUAUUUGUCUGAUCUUCAAAAGUCACCAGGUGUCCCAAGUUUAUCAAGAGCCUUGCAUUCUCCCAGUUCCACCAUGAUCUUUAACCUCCAUAGACCUUGUGGUCAGCCAGUCCGUCAGAAGAAAACCCAUCUGUCUUCU